GACGAACGCUGGCGGCGUGCUUAACACAUGCAAGUCGAACGGAAAGGCCCUGCUUUUGUGGGGUGCUCGAGUGGCGAACGGGUGAGUAACACGUGAGUAACCUGCCCUUGACUUUGGGAUAACUUCAGGAAACUGGGGCUAAUACCGGAUAGGAGCUCCUGCUGCAUGGUGGGGGUUGGAAAGUUUCGGCGGUUGGGGAUGGACUCGCGGCUUAUCAGCUUGUUGGUGGGGUAGUGGCUUACCAAGGCUUUGACGGGUAGCCGGCCUGAGAGGGUGACCGGCAACAUUGGGACUGGGAUACGGCCCAGACUCCUACGGGAGGCAGCGGUGGGGAAUAUUGCACAAUGGGCGGAAGCCUGAUGCAGCAACGCCGCGUGCGGGAUGACGGCCUUCGGGUUGUAAACCGCUUUCGCCUGUGACGAAGCGUGAGUGACGGUAAUGGGUAAAGAAGCACCGGCUAACUACGU
rnacentral:rRNA from 1 species